rnacentral:rRNA from 1 species
GACGAACGCUGGCGGCGUGCUUAACACAUGCAAGUCGAACGGAAAGGCCCUGCUUUUGUGGGGUGCUCGAGUGGCGAACGGGUGAGUAACACGUGAGUAACCUGCCCUUGACUUUGGGAUAACUUCAGGAACCUGGGGCUAAUACCGGAUAGGAGCUCCUGCUGCAUGGUGGGGGUUGGAAAGUUUCGGCGGUUGGGGAUGGACUCGCGGCUUAUCAGCUUGUUGGUGGGGUAGUGGCUUACCAAGGCUUUGACGGGUAGCCGGCCGGAGAGGGUGACCGGCAACAUUGGGACUGAGAUACGGCCAGGACUCCUCGGGGAGGAAGCAGUGGGGAAUAUUGAACAAUGGGCGGAAGCCUGAUGCAGCAACGCCGCGUGCGGGAUAACGGCCUUCGGGUUGUAACCCGCUUUCGCCUGUAACGAAGCGUGAGUGACGGUAAUGGGUAAAGAAGCACCGGCUAACUACGUG